rnacentral:rRNA from 1 species
GUGAGGUUAAUAACCUCAUCGAUUGACGUUACCCGCAGAAGAAGCACCGGCUAACUCCGUGCCAGCAGCCGCGGUAAUACGGAGGGUGCAAAGCGUUAAUCGGAAUUACUGGGCGUAAAGCGCACGCAGGCGGUCUGUCAAGUCGGAUGUGAAAUCCCCGGGCUCAACCUGGGAACUGCAUUCGAAACUGGCAGGCUAGAGUCUUGUAGAGGGGGGUAGAAUUCCAGGUGUAGCGGUGAAAUGCGUAGAGAUCUGGAGGAAUACCGGUGGCGAAGGCGGCCCCCUGGACAAAGACUGACGCUCAGGUGCGAAAGCGUGGGGAGCAAACAGGAUUAGAUACCCUGGUAGUCCACGCCGUAAACGAUGUCGAUUUGGAGGUUGUGCCCUUGAGGCGUGGCUUCCGGAGCUAACGCGUUAAAUCGACCGCCUGGGGAGUACGGCCGCAAGGUUAAAACUCAAAUGAAUUGACGGGGGCCCGCACAAGCGGUGGAGCAUGUGGUUUAAUUCGAUGCAACGCGAAGAACCUUACCUGGUCUUGACAUCCACAGAACUUUCCAGAGAUGGAUUGGUGCCUUCGGGAACUGUGAGACAGGUGCUGCAUGGCUGUCGUCAGCUCGUGUUGUGAAAUGUUGGGUUAAGUCCCGCAACGAGCGCAACCCUUAUCCUUUGUUGCCAGCGGUUAGGCCGGGAACUCAAAGGAGACUGCCAGUGAUAAACUGGAGGAAGGUGGGGAUGACGUCAAGUCAUCAUGGCCCUUACGACCAGGGCUACACACGUGCUACAAUGGCAUAUACAAAGAGAAGCGACCUCGCGAGAGCAAGCGGACCUCAUAAAGUAUGUCGUAGUCCGGAUUGGAGUCUGCAACUCGACUCCAUGAAGUCGGAAUCGCUAGUAAUCGUAGAUCAGAAUGCUACGGUGAAUACGUUCCCGGGCCUUGUACACACCGCCCGUCACACCAUGGGAGUGGGUUGCAAAAGAAGUAGGUAGCUUAACCUUCGGGAGGGCGCUUACCACUUUGUGAUUCAUGACUGGGGUGAAGUCGUAACAAGGUAACCGUAGGGGAACCUGCGGUUG